GGGUUGUGAGGUUAAGCGACUAAGCGUACACGGUGGAUGCCCUGGCAGUCAGAGGCGAUGAAGGGCGUGCUAAUCUGCGAUAAGCGCCGGUAAGGUGAUAUGAACCGUUAUAACCGGCGAUACCCGAAUGGGGAAACCCAGUGUGAUUCGUCACACUAUCAUUAACUGAAUCCAUAGGUUAAUGAGGCGAACCGGGGGAACUGAAACAUCUAAGUACCCCGAGGAAAAGAAAUCAACCGAGAUUCCCCCAGUAGCGGCGAGCGAACGGGGAGGAGCCCAGAGCCUGAAUCAGCAUGUGUGUUAGUGGAAGCGUCUGGAAAGGCGCGCGAUACAGGGUGACAGCCCCGUACACAAAAGCGCAUGUGCUGUGAGCUCGAUGAGUAGGGCGGGACACGUGGUAUCCUGUCUGAAUAUGGGGGGACCAUCCUCCAAGGCUAAAUACUCCUGACUGACCGAUAGUGAACCAGUACCGUGAGGGAAAGGCGAAAAGAACCCCGGCGAGGGGAGUGAAAAAGAACCUGAAACCGUGUACGUACAAGCAGUGGGANNNNNNNNNNNNNNNNNNNNNNNNNNNNNNNNNNNNNNNNNNNNNNNNNNGGCGUUAAGUUGCAGGGUAUAGACCCGAAACCCGGUGAUCUAGCCAUGGGCAGGUUGAAGGUUGGGUAACACUAACUGGAGGACCGAACCGACUAAUGUUGAAAAAUUAGCGGAUGACCUGUGGCUGGGGGUGAAAGGCCAAUCAAACCGGGAGAUAGCUGGUUCUCCCCGAAAGCUAUUUAGGUAGCGCCUCGUGAAUUCAUCUCCGGGGGUAGAGCACUGUUUCGGCUAGGGGGCCAUCCCGGCUUACCAACCCGAUGCAAACUGCGAAUACCGGAGAAUGUUAUCACGGGAGACACACGGCGGGUGCUAACGUCCGUCGUGAAGAGGGAAACAACCCAGACCGCCAGCUAAGGUCCCAAAGUCAUGGUUAAGUGGGAAACGAUGUGGGAAGGCCCAGACAGCCAGGAUGUUGGCUUAGAAGCAGCCAUCAUUUAAAGAAAGCGUAAUAGCUCACUGGUCGAGUCGGCCUGCGCGGAAGAUGUAACGGGGCUAAACCAUGCACCGAAGCUGCGGCAGCGAACGUAUCACCCAAGACAACUUUACGGAGUUGACGAUUGACGGAGCGAAGCGACGUCAAAGCGUUCAUUAAAGUCGAGUUGGCUUAGGGAUACGUUCGUUGGGUAGGGGAGCGUUCUGUAAGCCUGUGAAGGUGUGUCGUGAGGCAUGCUGGAGGUAUCAGAAGUGCGAAUGCUGACAUAAGUAACGAUAAAGCGGGUGAAAAGCCCGCUCGCCGGAAGACCAAGGGUUCCUGUCCAACGUUAAUCGGGGCAGGGUGAGUCGACCCCUAAGGCGAGGCCGAAAGGCGUAGUCGAUGGGAAACGGGUUAAUAUUCCCGUACUUGGUGUUACUGCGAAGGGGGGACGGAGAAGGCUAUGUUGGCCGGGCGACGGUUGUCCCGGUUUAAGCGUGUAGGUGUGUGUUCCAGGUAAAUCCGGUUCACUUUAACACUGAGGCGUGACGACGAGGCACUACGGUGCUGAAGCAACAAAUGCCCUGCUUCCAGGAAAAGCCUCUAAGCAUCAGGUAACACGAAAUCGUACCCCAAACCGACACAGGUGGUCAGGUAGAGAAUACCAAGGCGCUUGAGAGAACUCGGGUGAAGGAACUAGGCAAAAUGGUGCCGUAACUUCGGGAGAAGGCACGCUGACACGUAGGUGAAGUGAUUUACUCAUGGAGCUGAAGUCAGUCGAAGAUACCAGCUGGCUGCAACUGUUUAUUAAAAACACAGCACUGUGCAAACACGAAAGUGGACGUAUACGGUGUGACGCCUGCCCGGUGCCGGAAGGUUAAUUGAUGGGGUCAGCGCAAGCGAAGCUCCUGAUCGAAGCCCCGGUAAACGGCGGCCGUAACUAUAACGGUCCUAAGGUAGCGAAAUUCCUUGUCGGGUAAGUUCCGACCUGCACGAAUGGCGUAAUGAUGGCCAGGCUGUCUCCACCCGAGACUCAGUGAAAUUGAACUCGCUGUGAAGAUGCAGUGUACCCGCGGCAAGACGGAAAGACCCCGUGAACCUUUACUAUAGCUUGACACUGAACAUUGAGCCUUGAUGUGUAGGAUAGGUGGGAGGCUUUGAAGUGUGGACGCCAGUCUGCAUGGAGCCGACCUUGAAAUACCACCCUUUAAUGUUUGAUGUUCUAACGUGGACCCGUAAUCCGGGUUGCGGACAGUGUCUGGUGGGUAGUUUGACUGGGGCGGUCUCCUCCUAAAGAGUAACGGAGGAGCACGAAGGUUGGCUAAUCCUGGUCGGACAUCAGGAGGUUAGUGCAAUGGCAUAAGCCAGCUUGACUGCGAGCGUGACGGCGCGAGCAGGUGCGAAAGCAGGUCAUAGUGAUCCGGUGGUUCUGAAUGGAAGGGCCAUCGCUCAACGGAUAAAAGGUACUCCGGGGAUAACAGGCUGAUACCGCCCAAGAGUUCAUAUCGACGGCGGUGUUUGGCACCUCGAUGUCGGCUCAUCACAUCCUGGGGCUGAAGUAGGUCCCAAGGGUAUGGCUGUUCGCCAUUUAAAGUGGUACGCGAGCUGGGUUUAGAACGUCGUGAGACAGUUCGGUCCCUAUCUGCCGUGGGCGCUGGAGAACUGAGGGGGGCUGCUCCUAGUACGAGAGGACCGGAGUGGACGCAUCACUGGUGUUCGGGUUGUCAUGCCAAUGGCACUGCCCGGUAGCUAAAUGCGGAAGAGAUAAGUGCUGAAAGCAUCUAAGCACGAAACUUGCCCCGAGAUGAGUUCUCCCUGAGACUUAGAGUCUCCUGAAGGAACGUUGAAGACGACGACGUUGAUAGGCCGGGUGUGUAAGCGCAGCGAUGCGUUGAGCUAAC
rnacentral:rRNA from 1 species